rnacentral:rRNA from 1 species
AUUGAACGCUGGCGGCAUGCCUUACACAUGCAAGUCGAACGGUAACGGGCCUUCGGGUGCCGACGAGUGGCGCACGGGUGAGUAAUACAUCGGAACGUGCCCGAUCGUGGGGGAUAACGAGGCGAAAGCUUUGCUAAUACCGCAUACGAUCUACGGAUGAAAGCAGGGGACCGCAAGGCCUUGCGCGGACGGGGCGGCCGAUGGCAGAUUAGGUAGUUGGUGGGAUAAAAGCUUACCAAGCCGACGAUCUGUAGCUGGGCUGAGAGGAUGGUCAGCCACACUGGGACUGAGACACGGCCCAGACUCCUACGGGAGGCAGCAGUGGGGAAUUUUGGACAAUGGGCGCAAGCCUGAUCCAGCCAUGCCGCGUGCAGGAUGAAGGCCUUCGGGUUGUAAACUGCUUUUGUACGGAACGAAAAGCCUUCUUUUAAUACAGGAGGGUCAUGACGGUACCGUAAGAAUAAGCACCGGCUAACUACGUG